CCAUCUAAUCAAAUAAGCAGAAAGUUAGCUUUUUAAAAUAAAAAUACUCAACAUUUAUUCACAAUUUGAAAUCACCAUAGUAAAAUUGUACAAGCUAUAAGCAACCUAGGAACAUCAAAAGCUACCAGAAACAUAAGGCAAUUUGUACAACCAUUGAAAGAAAUACACAGCAUGAGUGAAAUGUUACUCCAACAAGACAAUGCUUGAUACACACUAGAGUGAUACGAACCAGCAUUAAAAAUUAAGUUCUAAACAAAAAUAAAGAUGUCAUGGCUACAAGUAUUAAAUGGUGAUAAAUACUUCAAAAAUAUAUUAAGAUAUAUGGAAAUUCUCAUUUUGUCAGGGAAAUCCAGAGAAAUUCCAGCCUUCACUGGAUUUCAAUAUACCAAUUAAGGUUUAACAUUUAACUUCCGUUCAAUAAGAACUGGUACUGCAGCCAUUACUGUUCUGUAUCAAUAGUCAUCUUCUUGUAGUGUAGUGAAAUCAGCCUUAUGUUAUUAUUAAGCCAUGUCUCUCACAUCACGAGCACUGAAUCGCUCUAAAUCAACCAAUGAGUUGCCUUUCAGUAACAAGUGCACUGCAUUUGAAGCUACAAAUCAUGUUACAUCACAGUCGGCGUCAGCCCACUUUCCAGCAUUAAUAAAAGUUGAGUUCUGAGACUUGCCUCCAAUUAAAUAACACAUCUUGAACAGAGGAUUUAGUUUCAAGUCCACCACAACUCAUCCUAGCAUAACAUUGAGCACAGUACAAGAAUCAUGGUAAUGUUUGAGUUACACCUUUAAAAAGAAAGUCCAAAGGAUGUUUAGAGACAACGGGUUUUGAACAUGCACAAAUGGUGGUUUAGUACACAUCUGUUUGUGCCGUUACUGGGUAGCGAGUGGAGCAGUUCAUAGCCAAGGGUCUGGUAAGAGAGUCGUCCAAGCCAGUUUAAAAAUAUAAACUUCUUCUUAUAGGGUCUGUUCUAUAGAAAAUAGAAUCAAAUCUGGAAAUUGUCAGUUUUGAGAGUACUUUCCCAUUGCAAGAUCCAUCCGUCAGUCUACCGCACCACCAAGAGAAAAGCUAAUCCUGCUAUUCCAAACCCUGCUGCUGCCAUUAUUGCAUUGCUUAUGGUACUGUUCUGUUCAGCGGGUUGAGAGUCCUGUCUGAAGAAGUGAUGGAAGCCAUCCUAGAAAAGCAAGAGAAAGGAACGUUGAGUUGGUUGGCUUACAAUUAAUCAAUUUUUUUAA